GGAUAUAAAAGAUAUAAAAAGAGUGACUAUUUUAAUUCUUCAGUACCAUUUAAGGAAUUCGCACAUUUGCUUACUCUGGAAAGUGUGCAAUUGUGUUUACUAAAACAUAUGGAUGUUUACUAUAAAUGCUUCAUUCCUAGGAUCUGCUUUCACAUGUGCAUAUCAGGCAUAAUGAUAAUAUUUUAACCCUAGUAAGGUAAUGUAGGCUAUAUCAACAUGUAUAAUGUGCUUCAUAAGUUCAUUUUCAUCCUCAUGUUAAUUAUUGGAGUAAAAUGCAAAUAUUUAAUUGAAUGUAAAAAUUGAUCCUAUACAUAUUUAUUUGCUCUCUCUAUUCUCAGAGUAUGUUUAGUAUGAUUACUGAAAGCAUAAUUUCAACUGACUUCUAUGAAAAAGAUUUCAGUCACCUGAAGUAACAGCCUGCAGCUGUCAUUAUGGAAAGCCCCCAAAAGGAGCUUUCAAAAUCUUGGGAGGAUUUCUUAAAUCUUAUGAAAAAGAGAAAGAAAGUAAAAGCAGAUUUCUUCUAAAAAAGAAAUAUGAAAAUGUAGUGGUAAAAACCAGGGAGUUCUUAAUCUAUUGAUAUUUUUAACUCUUACUACCCAGUUUUCUCUUUCAUUGUUCAUUUUGCAUUAUUAUGUGUCUCAUUUCAAAGUACUUAAAAAUUGCUGCAUAUUCUUAAGCCAUGAAAACAGGUGAAAUUUGAGAUGUAAAUAUUUUAUCCUUUAGAAGUUCGUGCAAAAUUGUUUCUUUAAAGGGAGGCAUACCAACAAGGAAUAAAAUCAAUGCAUAAAGUGAAGCUAGAAUAUAAUAUGGUGUGGUUCACCUUUAGAAAAUAUAAGCAAGUUUACAUGAUUUUAUUUCUAUCAAAAUGAAUCUUGAAAAUUUCACUGAUUAUACAUCUCCUCUUUUAAAUGUAUUAUUUAGAGGAUAAAGGAAAAAAAUGCUGAUGAAAAAUUAAUGGACCAAGAAGGGUUUUGUAAAACCCAGAUCUUCUUGUUACUAUGUUCAUAAAUAAUAUGUGAAUGUUACAGUCCAACGAUUUUUUUCUGCCUUAUUUAGGAUACUGUAAGCCAAAAUAUUUUACAUGAAUGCGUUUUUUUUUUUUCUUUCUCUGUUUUUCUUUUUUCUAUUUUCAAGUUACACUGUGUUUUUGAUAUUAUAGCAACUUGGAGUUUGUACCAUUAAAUGUGACCCUAUAAAGGGCCUCUGAUACUGUACUUUGUUACAUUUAUGUUUUUAAAAUAUAAAAACAAUAUACCCUUGAGGAUAAACAAAAACUCAGAAUUGCACAGUUUCAACUCAUUUGCAAUGUGACUUGUUCAACACUACAUAUAGUAUACCUAUUUUACUCAUAAAACAGAAUAUUUACAAUUCUUGCACUACCUCUAGAAUCUCAAGAAUUUUAACUUUUGCAUUUCAUGACAUUUUAAGAAAAUAUGUUGGCUAUUGGCCCCCUAGCCUAACCUUGGAUUUUCGUAUAAUUUUAAAAAUUCUAGACAAAGACAAGAGAACAAAGUGACUUACGUAGGAACCAUUUACAUGUGAUACUCUUUUGUCUUUUGAUUUUGGAAGCGAGUCCUAUGAAGACUUACCUAUCUAUGAGAAUGAUCAGAAGGGAUUCUAUAAUAUUAUUUAUAAACUUUCUUACAAUAAUCUUUAUUAGCAAUUUUCCUCAAAAAUAUCUUAUCCUUGUAUCCUUCUUAGAAUUUUAGCGGAGGUCAGAGCUAUUCCUGCAUCCAAUAUGAAAUUAUACAGACACCCUCACAUACACAUAUUGACAAACAAAACAAAUUGAGAGACAUGUUAAAGUUUAUAUGAGUCAUUGCAUAUUUUUUAAAUGCCUGAAAGGUUAAAAAAAAAAAUCUACCAGGACAGGUAUGGAAGAUCUCUCCAUAUUUUCCAUUGAUUUUCCUAUCCAUCAAUAUUCAGAUUUUAUUCAAUAAAAUCUCAAAACCCAGGAGUUCCCAUCGUGGAUCAGGGGUUAAUGAGCCCGACUAGCAUCCAUGAGGAUGUGGGUUUGAUCCCUGGCCUUGCUCAGUGGUUAAGGAUCUGGCGUUGCCACGAGCUGUGGUGUAGGUCCCAGACACAGCUUGGAUCCUGAGUUGCUAUGGCUGUGGUGUAGGUCAGUAGCUACAGCUCCAGUUCAACCCCUAACCUGGGAACCUGCAUAUGUCAUGGUGCGGCCCUAAAUAGACAAAAGACAAAAAAAAACUUCUCAAAAUCCACUAUACUCUGUUUCUUGCAUGUGAAUUUCAGUAGUACUCACUGUCUCUUUUUUGCAUUCAGAAGAUGAGUUCUGCUUGUGUUGCUCCCUAACUUGCUACAUAGCUUUAGGCAAGCCAUUUGACCUCUCUGAACUACUAUUCCUUAAUGUGAAAAUUUGGAUAAAAAUAUUGCACUCUAUCUCCAGAGUUAUUGUGAAGAUCAAAAGAAGAUAAUAUACACUAUAAACAUGCACAUAUAGUGUAGAUAAAAGUAUUUAUCUAGUCACAGAGCAUUAGAUCCAAAUAAUUUUUUUCUUAGGGAGUAAUCCAUGGCUCCUCAUCUUUAUAGACACCUACUUUUGUUUUAUUCAUUUAUUCUGCAAACCUUUAUUGAAUAUUCUACUUCUGAGGGAUAAGUGUACAGUGGAGGUGUUCAUAAGGAAUGAUGCAGGUGAGAUAUCUGGAAAGUAAAAGUAUCUGGGUCUCACUUUCUGUGCCAGCCCUUACUGUUGAACUCCCUGGGAUUUAAUUAGGAGCUGUAGCAAGUGGCUGUACAAGGUCCAUACUAAGUGCCUGGUUGUGGGAGGGAUGAAAUUCAGCCUCCUCUUCAUUGCUGCUUGGGCCAUAUGCCCUGACAAGAAAGGUGCUCCAUCGCUUCUAAGCUGGGGGUUCCUUUUUCUAGUCUUCAAAAGCCAAAGUGUGUGAUAACCCUGAGUCUCUUCUUUUGGGAUCAGCAGUCAGGUAAAAUAGGAUUAUUAGCCCUGUAAGAAAUACCAGAUUCUUUAAGACAUAUUUUAGGAGUUUUAACCAUUUGUUAUACUAUACUACAGGAAAUUUGCUGCACUAUAUUUUUCUAACACCCCCACAGAUUCUACACAUUUCAGUACUGUACCAGAGGGAAAACACUAUAUCAACAGGACAGAGCACAGCACCUGUAGAAGAUACGAUGACAUGUCUUUCUUUUUUGUGUGGGCACUGACUUUCAGCUCUCAGGCUCAAAAUAUCACCCAUAUUUCAAAAACUUUCCUAUCCUCAUUUUUGCAGUCUCAUUGUAAAAUAAAUUUGAGUUGAAAUUCCUUGCUAUUUCUGCAAACUUCAACUUAAUUCGUGUUCUGAAAGUGUGCUAUUGAUAUGGUUUGGAAAGUUUUAAAUCUUGGAUUGUACACAGAGAGAAGUUAAAUUUCUAAAUAUGAAUGUCCAAUUAAUCUACAAAGGGAUCUUUAAAUAUUGCCAUGUAUUCUGUCCUCAAAAAUCCUUAUUUUCCAUUCAUGCAAAAUCAUUACAUAAUCCAAGGAUAUAGAAUUAUUAAAGCAAAUAAUAAAUUCUAAAACUUGCAGCUUGUUCCUGGCAAUAAUUACAUUGAUUGAGGCACUGUGAAUUUGAAGUAGAAUGUUUUUGUGAGUUGCUGCAGGAGAAAACUCCUAGGCUUCAUAAAUCUAAAUUGAGUGACUGAGAAAAAAAGAAAAGGUCUAUAAAGCUAUGAAUACCUAGUCUAGUAAAGGAUGCAAAAUUUUCAAUAAAGAAAUAAUUGGUAAUCUUGAAUUCAGUGACAGAAAAUUAUAAAUCUGUCUCUUUUAUGAAGUCUCUUGUGUGAAAUAUGGAUGAGUUGAGGUUAUAAAAAAGCAUGUUUACCAGCAGGAGCCUAAAUCAACAGCUUUGAACAUAAUAGUUCAGAAAGUAGCAGGGAGCCACUGUUCCUGAGAUGGGAAACACUGACAUUUAUUUAAUUUUUUACUUUCCCACUGUAUCCAUUUCAUCUCCUGCCCUGCCCCUCUCUACCUUUGUCCUUGGUUAAAAUAAACCCUCAUGGCAUUAAAUCUGUCUACUAUAGUUAAUUACUUCAGUUAUGUGCUAAAGCAUUUAGUUGCAGCACCUUCUCUCUAUGGGUUUUGAAGACACGGUUUAAUAUUAGUUUGUAUGGUGGUUGCUGUACAUCUUCAAACCAUAAACACCAUGUCAAGUGCUCCAAGGAAUAAUAAAAUAUUAAUUUUGAGACAAAAAAAAUUAAGUGCUUAAAGAAGAAGCUGUUGUCUAUCCCGCGAGUGGCUUUUAAGACAUUGAUAUCUAUGCUUUAAACAUAACUAUUCUUAGUUGUUCAAACCACAUGUAACAUGCCCUAAGUAACUGUCUGCCUCCAAUUGUAUAGCCCAUAGAUUGAAACCACCAAUCCCGUCUUUCUGUCAGAGCACAGUUAUUAAAAAAAGACUCCUUUUCCUUAUCUACAGCCUUUUAUUUUUUAACAACAUUAUGCCAAUAUAAAAGACUUGCUAUGUCUUGCAAACACUGAGAAGAAGUAGAUCUGAUGCUUAAAGAAAUAGUAACAACUGAGUAUUUUGUGGUAUGUGUACAUACAGAUUUGUGAAUGCUUUUCCAUACGUUUUUCAUUAAAUACUUUAUUUGUGAAAAGAAAGCUCCAAAUGGCAAAUGGAAGUCUUUUCCUCAUUCAUUCAUAGAAUAAAUAUUUGUACAGCAUUUUUUUGUGAGUCAGAGUUGAUACACAAACGAGUUGUUUAUUCAAAAUGUUUAUAAAAUCAUUAAGACAAAAAUGGAUAGAAAUAAGUUAUUGUCAUAAGAAUUGAUUUAAAUGCCACUGGCUCUCAAUAAAUAUUGAGCAAUGAUAAAGUGGUCUCAAAAAUGUUAAAAAAGCAAACAAUCUUUUUUUGGCUGUACAUUGCUGGCCUUGAAAUUAAAAGUUGCAUACAUAAGUGUUACAGUAAUUUGAUGAUGGCAUCUCCUUUUUUAAUUCACUACCAAUUUUCCUGCAAAGCAAGUGCACUGUGAAUGCUUGACUCUUAAACAACAAUUGUUUGUAAGUGGUUUGUAGAAUUAGGGUAAGAUGGGAAGGGGUAUAGAGGCAAAUGCAUUGGGGGAAAUUGCGAAGAGGACUGACUGCAAACUUUAGGACAAUUCUUGAAGCAGAGGAAAUGCCGGUGGAAGAGCUGUAGAUACAGGAACCAUCAACCACUUAGAAAAGCCUCAAAGCAACAAGAUAAGAGGAUGGUGGAGAAACAUCAUUUAAAGAGUAAGGGUUUAAAGGGAUUCCUUUUUCUCAUCAAUAAUUUUAUAAAAUAUACAUGGCCUGCAUGGAUUGUAUGCACACAUUAUGUUGAGGGACAUGAUGUCAUGAGAAUCUCUUUUCUGUUAAUGUUCCCAGAACUCUUUGAUAAAAUCAAUACUCAUAGUCCUGAUUCAUUAAAAAAUACAUCUGUCUCUAAUAUAAUGAAAGCUUAUGGAACCAAGGUUUUUAAGACUUUCCUAUUUAAUAUUCAAGACCUGGAUGGCCAAAGAGGAUAGAUAUCUUACUGAUUCAUGGGCUUAGCAAAUGCCUUCAGCACAGUGUAUUUAAUGCCCAGAAUUGGUAUGGCAUUCAUACUGGAAUUGCUGUUAGAAAGAUCCAUUUGACUUCACAGACAAAACAUGUUUAUAAUCUUAUAAUAGCCUGAAAAAAAAACACCAGGCUAUUCAAAAAGGUAUAAUUUCUAAUUACCAUCUCUUUCAAAUGGCUUAGUCUGUUUUAAGUCUCUGCUCUUUAUUUUGUUGCUCUUAUAUGCUGGGGUUUGUUUGGCUUAAAUGUUUAUUUCUUCCUAGGGUGUUAUGACACCCACUAUUUUAAUUUCUCUGUCAAGCUUCAAUUUUAAUAGUCCUGCUAGGAGGCAGAUUGAGGAAGCUGGGCUUGGGUAUUGAAUGAUUACAUCUGGAAUUGUGUCCACCCACAGGAAGAAGCAACUGCAAAUAGUAGAAGGAGGCGAAGUCUCAAAGAGGGCUGUUCUGUACCCUUGGCGUUAAUCCCUGGUGAGGCAUUUGUCAAUUUACAUCUACAAACCAACUAGUGCUUCUACUGACUCCUUUUCAAGUUGUUACUUUUAUCACUCCUCUGUGUCAUGCAGGGAACACAGUAUGUCCUCAGAUACAUUUAGUAUCAUAGAUGCAACAGCACUCAAAGUAUUAUUUGUCUAUUUGUCUCUUGGAAUAAUACACCUCAGCAAGGCUUGAAAUUGAGCUAAAAAUGGGAUUUUUUUUUUAACCUGUUGUUGUAACUCAGCCUCUGCUCACCAGUGCCAAAUAGAAACACACAGACAGAGUUUGGGGCAAAGAAGAAAAAAAUAGCUUUAUUGCUUUGCCAUGCAAAGAGGGCCACAGCAGGCCAAUGCCACUGUGUCCCCCUUAGGAGAUAUUGGGAGGUGGUUUUAUAGUUUUGGGAGUUAAAAAGUAGAGUCACAGAUAAGGAACAGGGUAGAGGCAAGCUUGCAUUAUUUUCAAAGCUGGUGUUCAAUGGUUUGGUAUAACUCAAAGAUAUUAUCUAUAUUCUUUGAGGAGGGACCAGGACCCUGCCCAAAGGCUGCACCAUGGUCUCUUGAUGGCUCCUCUCUGGUCUCUGCAUCCCCUCCCUUCCCUGAUUAGCAACUGUUUGAACCUUCCCUUUGGAACUCAGGGAAGGUCAUGGAGGCUGAAACUUAUUCCCUAAAAACAAGAAAUGGGGGACACAGAAAGGCUUAAAUGUGCCAUUCUGGUGUGCAAUCUUGAUACUGGGGGAAGCUGUGAGUAUGUGGAGGUAAGGGGGUCUAAGGAAACUCUCUGUACUUUCUGCUCAAUUUUGCUUUGAACUUAAACAUACUGUAAAAAUAGUCUGUUUAAAAGGGGAGUUAAUACUCCAUUUAUAUAAAUGGAGAUGAUAUAUUUAAUAUUUUUAAGAGAUUUAGUUUCAUGCUUCAGGUUGAUUUUAUGUUUGCUGUUAUUUACUGUUUAAGUUGCACAUAUUAGUGAAUUUAAGUCUUCAGCUAAUUUUUCCACUGUUUGCUGAAUGCAGUUUGCUCUGAAGUUGUAAUCAUCAUGCUGAAAACUAUAAGCAUGUUUUACAUUACUUUUCAGCCUAAACAUCUGAAAGAAUGACUGUAAUAAGCAAGACUUUGAGUUAUAAAGGUGGCAAUGUAGAAAUGCAAGAUACUUGCUUUUGAUAUUUCUAUAUUUAACUGUAAUAUGGAAAGGAAAUAGAAAAGUGUAUGAAGAGGAAGAACACUAGAAUAACUGAGAAAUCAACCUUGUUAAAAAUCAAGCUCAACAUUGAAGACUCUUUAUUUUUCUCUUUCUUACAUGUUCAUUAAUCUGCCUUUAUGUUUUAUUCACUAUUUUGUUAAUAAAGAUCUAAUCCUUUUUUUUUUUUUUGCCAUGUAGUGAUCUAGAAGACACAAAAUCUAAAUCAGAAAUGAAAUGCAGUGCUAGACUUUAGAGUAUGUAUAAGGUUGUUUUUUUUUUUUUGUCUUUUUGCCAUUUCUUGGGCCGCUUCUGCGGCAUAUGGAGGUUCCCAGGCUAGGGGUCUAAUCGGAGCUGUAGUCACUGGCCUACGCCAGAGCCAUAGCAACGCAGGAUCCGAGCCGCAUCUGCAACCUACACCACAGCUCACGACAACGCCGGAUCGUUAACCCACUGAGCAAGGGCAGGGACCGAACCCCCAAGCUCAUGGUUCCUAGUCGGAUUCGUUAACCACUGCGCCAUGACGGGAACUCCAUGUAUAAUGUUGAAAGUAUAUUUGAUAAAAUGUAAAUCAAACAAUCUAACUCACCCCAAAAUGAGCAUGGGUAUACUUGAGUCACACUCAUUGAAUAAAGCACAUGCUUUAAAGGGAGUAAAAACUUAUACCAACAAAAUCUUUCUAAUCUCCACC
rnacentral:lncRNA from 1 species